GAUGAACGCUGGCGGCGUGCUUAACACAUGCAAGUCGAACGGAAAGGCUCCUGCUUGCAGGGGUACUCGAGUGGCGAACGGGUGAGUAACACGUGGGUGAUCUGCCCUGCACUUCGGGAUAAGCCUGGGAAACUGGGUCUAAUACCGGAUAGGACCACAUUUUGGAUGGUGUGGUGGAAAGUUUUUCGGUGUGGGAUGAGCUCGCGGCCUAUCAGCUUGUUGGUGGGGUAAUGGCCUACCAAGGCGUCGCCGGGUAGCCGGCCUGAGAGGGUGUACGGCCACAUUGGGACUGAGAUACGGCCCAGACUCCUACGGGAGGCAGCAGUGGGGAAUAUUGCACAAUGGGCGCAAGCCUGAUGCAGCGACGCCGCGUGGGGGAUGACGGCCUUCGGGUUGUAAACUCCUUUCGCUAGGGACGAAGCGCAAGUGACGGUACCUGGAGAAGAAGCACCGGCUAACUACGUG
rnacentral:rRNA from 1 species